rnacentral:rRNA from 1 species
AUCCGGGGGAUGCAAGCGUUAUUCGGAAUCAUUGGGCGUAAAGGGCACGCAGGCGGUUCUGUCAGUCAGAUGUGAAAGCCCGGGGCUUAACCCCGGACGUGCAUUUGAAACAGCAGGACUUGAGUGUGGUAGAGGAAAGCGGAAUUCCUGGUGUAGAGGUGAAAUUCGUAGAUAUCAGGAGGAACACCGGUGGCGAAGGCGGCUUUCUGGACCAAAACUGACGCUGAGGUGCGAAGGCGUGGGUAGCGAACAGGAUUAGAAACCCCAGUAGUCC